rnacentral:rRNA from 1 species
UGCGUAUGGUGCGAACGGUGUUCGGAAUCACUGGGCAUAAAGAGCACGUAGGCGGUUGAGCAAGUCCAUUGUGAAAUCCCCCGGCCUAACCGGGGAACUGCAGUGGAUACUACUUGACUUGAGUGCAGAAGGGGAGAGUGGAAUUCCUGGUGGAGCGGUGAAAUGCGUAGAUAUCAGGAGGAACGCCGGUGGCGAAAGCGACUCUCUGGGCUGUUACUGACGAUGAGGUGCGAAAGCUAGGGGAGCAAACGGG